rnacentral:tRNA from 1 species
CCUCAACUUUUAAAGGAUAGCAGUUAUCCGUUGGCCUUAGGAACCAA